rnacentral:rRNA from 1 species
AUGUUCAUAAUAGAGGAUGGCCGAGUGUUAGUGUGCAUGAAGUUUUUCUUUUUUCACGAACUUGUGAUGGACGCGGAGGGCUGGUACUCUGGCACUCCAGAGGCCAUUGUCACCGUGCAGUACACCAGCGCCGUGCCUGUCGGUCUCGUCGUCGACGCGUUUGCCAUGGUUGGCGGUAACUCCAUCCAGUUCGCCACCAGGCAUCGGGGCUGCUACGUGGUCGCGGUGGAGAUCAAUCCCCGGAAGGUGGAUCUGGUGAAGCACAAUGCCAGAAUCUACGGCGUGGAGCAUUUGAUCGAGUUCGUCGUCGGCGAUUUCUUCCACCUCGCGCCUUACUUGAAGGCGGAUUUGGUGUUCCUUUCACCCCCAUGGGGAGGGCCAUCAUACAAUAAGACUCCAAUGUAUACCCCAAAGAUCAGUUUAGGAAAAUUUCCUGGUUCCUAUCAGAAUCGCUUGAGCCAGGGUGCUGGGACAUCGUCAGUUCAUGAGCCUUGA